UGCAUAUCAAUAAGCGGAGGAAAAGAAACCAACAGGGAUUGCCCCAGUAACGGCGAGUGAAGCGGCAACAGCUCAAAUUUGAAAUCUGGCCUCGGCCCGAGUUGUAAUUUGCAGAGGAUGCUUCUGGCGAGGCACCGACCGAGUCCCCUGGAACGGGGCGCCAUAGAGGGUGAGAGCCCCGUAUGGUCGGACGCUUAGCCUGUGUGAAUCUUUUCCUCCGACUCGAUUGAUAUGCGGAAUGCUGCUCAAAAUGGGAGGUAAAUUUCUUCUAAAGCUAAAUACCGGCCAGAGACCGAUAGCGCACAAGUAGAGUGAUCGAAAGAUGAAAAGCACUUUGAAAAGAGGGUUAAAUAGCACGUGAAAUUGUUGAAAGGGAAGCGCUUGUGACCAGACUUGCGCCUGGCCGAUCAUCCGGGGUUCUCCCCGGUGCACUCGGCCAGGCUCAGGCCAGCAUCGGUUCUCUCGGGGGGACAAAGGCUCCGGGAACGUAGCUCCCUCCGGGGAGUGUUAUAGCCCGGGGCGUAAUGCCCUCGAGGGGACCGAGGACCGCGCUUCGGCAAGGAUGCUGGCGUUACGGUCAUCAGCGACCCGUCUUGAAACACGGACC
rnacentral:rRNA from 1 species